GUGCUUGCUUUGGCAGCACAUACACUAAAAGUGGAACAAUACAGAGAAAAUUAGCAAGGCCACCGCACAAAGAUAACAUGCAAAUUCAUGAAGCAUUCCAUAUUUUU